UACGUAGGGGGCAAGCGUUGUCCGGAUUUAUUGGGCGUAAAGCGCGUGUAGGCGGCUUGGUAGGUCAGCUGUGAAAACCCGAGGCUCAACCUCGAGCUGUCGGUUGAAACCACCUUGCUAGAGUCCGGAAGAGGAGAGUGGAAUUCCUAGUGUAGCGGUGAAAUGCGCAGAUAUCAGGAAGAACACCAAUGGCGAAGGCAGCUCUCUGGGACGGUACUGACGCUGAGACGCGAAAGCGUGGGGAGCGAACAGG
rnacentral:rRNA from 1 species